rnacentral:rRNA from 1 species
GAUGAACGCUGGCGGCGUGCCUAAUACAUGCAAGUCGAGCGAACAGACGAGGCGCUUGCUCCUCUCACGUGAGCGGCGGACGGGUGUGUAACACGUGUAUAACCUACCUACAAGACUGGGAAAACUUCGGGAAACCGGCGCUAAUACCGGAUAAGAUAUUGAACCGCAUGGUUCAUUAGUGAAAGACGGCUUUUCUGUCACUUAUCGAUGGAUCCGCGCCGGAUUAGGUAGUUGGUACGGUAACGGCUUACCAAGGCAACGAGGCGUAGCCGGGCUGAGAGGGUUAGCCGCCAUGCGGGAGUGGACAGCCGGACCGGGACUGUGAUGGGGGCAGGAGUAGUGCAGGUGGCGGAAUGGGCGAAUGUCGGACGGAGGAACGCCGCGUGAGGGAGGAAGGUCUCCGGAUGGAAAACCGCUGUUAUGAGGGAAGCACAAUUGUGUAGGUAAGUAUGGUGGGUGAGGGGAUUGGGAAUCAGAGCGCCGGCGAUAAACGUG